rnacentral:rRNA from 1 species
CAAGGCGAACCGGGGAAACUGAAACAUCUCAGUACCCCGAGAAAAAGAAAUCAACCGAGAUUCCCCCAGUAGCGGCGAGCAAACGGGGAGCAGCCCAGAGUCAACAUCAAUAUUUACCACAGGAGAAGGGUCUGGAAAAGCCGGCAAUAAAGGGUGGUAGCCCCGUAUCUAAAGCGGUAAGUGUUGUGAACUCGAAGAGUAGGGCGGGACACGUGUUAUCCUGUCUGAAUAUGGGGGGACCAUCCUCCAAGGCUAAAUACUCCUGACUGACCGAUAGUGAACCAGUACCGUGAGGGAAAGGCGAAAAGAACCCCGGCGAGGGGAGUGAAAUAGAACCUAAAACCGUGUACGUACAAGCAGUAGGAGCACCCGAAAGGGUGUGACUGCGUACCUUUUGUAUAAUGAGUCAGCGACUUAUAUUCUGUAGCAAGGUUAACCGCAUAGGGGAGCCGUAGGGAAACCGAGUCUUAACUGGGCGUUAAGUUGCAGGGUAUAGACCCGAAACCCGGUGAUCUAGCCAUAAGCAGGUUGAAG